rnacentral:rRNA from 1 species
UACAGAGGGUGCAAGCGUUGUUCGGAAUUAUUGGGCGUAAAGCGCGUGUAGGCGGCUUUGCAAGUCGGGUGUGAAAUCCCUCGGCUCAACCGAGGAAGUGCGCCCGAAACUGCAGAGCUUGAGUACCGGAGAGGAUGGCGGAAUUCCCCAAGUAGAGGUGAAAUUCGUAGAUAUGGGGAGGAACACCGGUGGCGAAGGCGGCCACCUGGACGGUAACUGACGCUGAGACGCGAAAGCGUGGGGAGCAAACAGG